rnacentral:rRNA from 1 species
UAACGCGAAGAACCUUACCAGGUCUUGACAUCUUCUGCCAGGCUGAGAGAUCAGCUGUUCCCUUCGGGGACAGAAUGACAGGUGGUGCAUGGUUGUCGUCAGCUCGUGUCGUGAGAUGUUGGGUUAAGUCCCGCAACGAGCGCAACCCUUAUUAUCAGUUGCCAGCAUUAAGUUGGGCACUCUGGUGAGACUGCCGGUGACAAACCGGAGGAAGGUGGGGAUGACGUCAAAUCAUCAUGCCCCUUAUGACCUGGGCUACACACGUGCUACAAUGGAUGGUAUAACGAGUUGCGAACUCGCGAGAGUAAGCUAAUCUCUUAAAGCCAUUCUCAGUUCGGAUUGUAGGCUGCAACUCGCCUACAUGAAUUCGGAAUCGCUAGUAAUCGCGGAUCAGCA